GACAGAGGGUGCAAACGUUUGUUCGGAAUUACUGGGCGUAAAGCGAGUGUAGGCGGUCCUCUAAGUCGGGUGUGAAAGCCCCGGGCUCAACCCGGGAAGUGCACUCGAAACUGGAGGGCUAGAGUAUCGGAGAGGUUGGUGGAAUUCUCGGUGUAGAGGUGAAAUUCGUAGAUAUCGAGAGGAACACCGGUGGCGAAGGCGGCCAACUGGACGAAUACUGACGCUGAGGAGCGAAAGCGUGGGGAGCGAACAGG
rnacentral:rRNA from 1 species